UCUGGGAAACUGCCUGAUGGAGGGGGAGUAACUACUGGAAACGGUAGCUAAUACCGCAUAACAAUGGAUGACACAUGUCAUUUAUUUGAAAGGGGCAAUUGCUCCACUACAAGAUGGACCUGCGUUGUAUUAGCUAGUAGGUGAGGUAAUGGCUCACCUAGGCGACGAUACAUAGCCGACCUGAGAGGGUGAUCGGCCACACUGGGACUGAGACACGGCCCAGACUCCUACGGGAGGCAGCAUG
rnacentral:rRNA from 1 species